rnacentral:rRNA from 1 species
UACGGGGGGGGCAAGCGUUGUUCGGAAUUACUGGGCGUAAAGGGCGCGUAGGCGGUCAGAUAAGUCAGCUGUGAAAACCUCGGGCUUAACCCGAGGCCUGCAGUUGAAACUGUUUGGCUGGAGUGUGGGAGAGGAGAGUGGAAUUCCCGGGUGUAGCGGUGAAAUGCGUAGAUAUCGGGAGGAACACCGGUGGCGAAGGCGGCUCUCUGGGACCACUACGUGACGCUGAGGCG